GUCCAGUCUUCAUGGAAACACAGAGAUCCCAAUGGCGCCUCAGCAACACCUUGCCACACGCAAAGUGUUGCUGAGGCGCCAUUGGGAUCUCUGUGUUUCCAUGAAGACUGGACUUGGACUAUGAUUUGAAUCUGCUGAUAUCACCUAGCUUGGUUCUCGCUGUGUCUUAUCGUGGACCUGUUUUGGAUGACUGCACCCUCUUCAGACUUUGGAUUGAAUUUGACCUGGCUUCUGUCUACUCCCUCUGACUGACGGCUACUCCCGGCUUCUGACUAUUGGUUUGUCUUUCGGAAUUUCUGCUGCCUCCUGACCUGACCUUGGAUUCUUCUGACGAUGGCUAUUCAUCAUCCCUUUGAGGCUCUCGGCUUAUCUGCACCGUGGAAGCAGCUUUACUGCUUUUCUAGUUUGUUUAUUUUCCAGCAAUUAACUCUAUUUGUUUUCCAAAUCUGAAUUGAAGCGUUAUUUAGUUUUUUAUUGAAUGCCAGCAUGGGAAAUUAGCGUGGCUCGUUUUUGAGUUGUUAUUGUCCAAUCUACUCUCGAAACACUGAAAAGUGAAGUGUUUCAAGGAUAUUUCCUGUGUUUAUGUUAUUUUUUGGCUUAUCUUCGGAAUAAACUCUGUUUUGUAUGUUAA